UCAAAUGAUUCCCUUUCAAAU
rnacentral:piRNA from 1 species